rnacentral:rRNA from 1 species
GACGAACGCUGGCGGCGUGCUUAACACAUGCAAGUCGAACGGAAAGGCCCUGCGCUUGUGGGGUGCUCGAGUGCCGAACGGGUGAGAAACACGCGAGUAACCUGCCCCUGACAUUGGGAUAACUCCAGGAAACUGGGGCUAUUACCGGGUAUGAGCUCCUGCAGCACGGUGGGGGUUGGAAAAUUUCGGCGGUUGGGGAUGGUCUCGCGGCUUAUCAGCCUCCUGGUGGGGUAGUGGCUUACCAAGGCUUUGACGGGUAGCCGGCCUGAGAGGGUGGCCGGCGACAAUGGGACUGAGGUACGGCCCAGACUGCUACGGGAGGCAGCGGGCGAAAAUAUUACACAGUAGGCGGGCGCCUGAUGCAACGAUGCCGCGUUCGUGAUAACGGCCUUCGGGUUGUAAACCGCUUUCGCCUUAGACGAAGACUGCGUGACGGUAAUGGGUCAAGAAGCACCGGCUAACUACGUG